GUUUUAGAUAUAUUUCGAUUGUUCUUCGUCGAUCCACACCAACUCAGCGAGCUCUAUCAUCGCUACGUUUCGAAAUUGAUUAAGACCCGUCGACUGUUCGUACUUCAGAGGCGAACCAGAGUUAGAUUGCUUGUCAAGUUUCACGUGGAAUAGCAAGCAGUUUAUGAUUUGAGCAUUUGUCGAUCCCCGUUUCUUCAUUCUCGGAG